rnacentral:rRNA from 1 species
GUCUACACCCAUGCCACCCUGAACAAACCCGAUCCCGUCUGAUCUCGGAAGCUAAACAGGGUCGGGACUGGUUAGUACUUGGAUGGGAGACCACCUAGGAAGACCAGGUGCUGUAGGCA